rnacentral:lncRNA from 1 species
UCUCGCACCGGCGCUGGGGUGCAGGCUUUCAGUGGUCUCAGGGCUACGGCUUGUCGGUGCCUCGCCGCACAGUCCCCUUUGCAUUGAAGGACACGGUCUUACGGUGUAGGAGCAUUUUUGAGGUGCAUUCCUGGAUUUGGAGGCGAACCCCCAAUGGUUACCUCCACAGAGGCUUUGCGAAGGGCGCUCACUGACUUAGGUGAAGAGCGAAGGCUCAAGACUGUGCCGCUUUAUAGUGGCCCCUUGACGUCCAGAAGUUCCCCCCAGCGCCGGUCAUAAGCACUCCCGCCGCCUGGGCCCCGCCCUGCCUGCCAGGCGCCCUCCAGCCUCAGCUCCCGGACGCCCGGCGUGGCCGCUUUCUCGCGUCUUGCUGACCCGGGCCGGGGGCGUGUGCUCCUCCUGCAGCGGACGGAAGAUGCUGGGCCACGCAAGUUUCCCUGGGCUUGGUUAACCACCCCAAAGCCCAUUUCCAGAAGGAAAGGGUGUUGAGGAGGAGGGAUAGAAAGUCGAGAAGAGGGCCGGAGAUGAGAUCUUGCUCUGUCACCCAGACUGGAGUGCAGUGGCACGAUCAUAGCUCACUGCACCCUCAAACUCCUGGACUCAAAUCAUCCUCUACCUCUGCCUCCAUGAGUAACUGGAACUACAGGUCAACACAGAUUCUCGGAAUUAAACACUUCCAUGUCCCAGAGGAUCAAAGUCACUUGCAAAAAUACCUCAAAAUGUGUUUGUCAAGAAAUUACACUUUCUCUUGAUUUUGUGGACCACUUUCUAAUUUCCAACCCAGACAAAAGCCUCCUAGUGAAGCUGGUCUUUCCU